UUUUGCCUCUCUCUCCGUUCUGCCAAACCCAACGAAUAUCAUUAAGAAAUAUACGACAUGCUGGAUCUAGGUAUAUAUGUCUAUGAAGCUUCAUCUGUUUUCGACAACGCUCCCUCGUUUAUUUCCAUGAAGUUUUAAGAAACGCACAUGAAUCUGCGAAAGAUGAACAGAUGUCUUAUACAAGUAAAAUAUGGUUGGCACAUGCCCGGGAACGCAUCUAUCGAGAGGAAGAAAAGAAAAGAAAAGAUCAAGAUACAGAAGGGAAACAAUGAUUCCUUUCUGUAACAAUCCACUCUCCAGAAAUUUUUUGAUGCUAAGAUUAGGACUAGAUUUGCAUGAUUACAGUGAUUGUUACGUAUUUGAACUAAUUAUCUUUGGAUAAAGAUCAUUACAUAAAAAAAAGGUAGCAAAGUGCGUUUCAAUAUGAAAUACAUAUAUGUUACAGUAGAA